UAAUGGAACUCCACUUUUGGUUUUCUUGGUGGCAGAAGAGGAAGUGGAGCCUCGCCUUUAAGAAUCUUAGCAGCCCUCUUAACUGUUGGCCUAUGCUCAUGAUUUGAGUGCACACAACAAAGUCCCACCAUCAGCAUCCUCUCCAUCUCCACUUCAUUAAACUUCCCUUCCAACUUUGCAUCGGCAGCCUGAAUCAGUUUCCCUUUCUCCCAGAAACUCCACACCGACUCAACAAGCACUGUACCAUCAUCUUCUACAGGCCUUCUUCCAGUGGCCAACUCUAGCACUACCACACCAAAGCUGUAAACAUCAGUUUUCACUGAUGGAACACCAGAAUAAACAUACUCAGGAGCAAGAUACCCCAUUGUCCCUGCUGGUAUAGUAGCUUCUCUUGUCUUAGUACUAUGUUCGUAUACUUCUGCUAAGCCAAAAUCUCCCAGUUUCGCAUUGAAUUCUUCAUCAAGCAUUAUAUUGCAUGACUUUACAUCUCUAUGAAUUAUCUGUCUCUCACAUUCAUCAUGUAGAUAUGAAAGAGCAUAAGCAACUCCAAGAACUACAUUUAACCUUUGCUUCCAGGAAAGGCAAAUUGUAGAACCAGUAGUGUUGUGAAGGAUUCUGUCAAGGCUUCCAUUGGGCAAGUAUUCAUAAACUAGGACUAAUUCUUCUCCCUCACAGCACCAUCCUUGAAGUUGAACCAAGUUAUUGUGUCUCAAGCAACCCACCAUUGUUGCAAACUCAGUGAUGAAUGGAUUGCGAAAACAGUCGAUCUCCCCCUUGUUGAAUCUCUUAAUAGCCACUGCUCCUGUAGAUGGAAGAGACCCUUUAUAAAUUGUAGCUGAAGCUCCUUCACCAACAACUCUGUUUCUGUGAAACCCCAUAGUAGCUGACUUUAUCUCAGCAAUUGAAAAUCUUGUUGGUCCUCUUUGGCCUCUACCGAUUUGGACCUUUCUCUUUCUUCUGCCAAUACCUCUCUUUUUCCUCAUAACAAAGAAAAUUACUGUCGCCAUGGAGAGGACGAAAGCAGCUAAACCUCCCAACCCCAAAGCAAUCUCUCGCAUAUUGGUUCUUUUCUCAUUAAGAUCACUAGGGGUGCUGUUGCCAUUGACACCUGAAUCCUCAGAAUAGCACAUUAAACAGUCCCCUCCUUCAGUUGUAUCCAUAGGACUCACAGAAGGGGGAGAACCGUAAGUUUUGAAUCGCCAAUGAUCAACAAUAUGAAAGGCUGAGCCUUGCCCAUUGGAAGCCGAGAAACCAACAUGCAUAUAUUCCUUGACAUACUCAGAGAGAUCAAUCCGUGCCUGGAGAACAGGAUUUGAAGGCCUAAUUUGGGAGUAACUAACCCACACCUGAACCAACUUAGUGGCAUCUGUGUAUUCAACCCAAGCAGUUAUCUGCCUUCCACUUUUCAGAUCAAUCCCUUCUUCGACAGCAUCAACUGAAGCAAAAGAUACAACUGUAUUGACAUCAAUUCCAAUGUGAUUACUGCUGAUAUCAGAAAGAGAAAGAUCAGAA
rnacentral:misc_RNA from 1 species